rnacentral:ncRNA from 1 species
UGAGACUUAGUCCUAACCUUACUGUUGGUUGUUGCUAGGAAUAUACAUGCAAGUAUCCGCGCCCCAGUGCAAUAAGCCCUCAGUUCCUCUAACCCAGGUCAGUAGGAGCGGGUAUCAGGCUCACCCCCCCCCCGUAGCCCAAAACGCCUUGCACUUGCCACGCCCCCACGGGUACUCAGCAGUAGUUAGUAUUAAGCAAUGAGUGCAAACUUGACUUAGCCAUAGCAAUACAGGGUCGGUAAAUCUUGUGCCAGCCACCGCGGUCAAACAAGAGACCCGAAUCAACUUUACUCUUAUAACGGCGUAAAGUGUGGUCACAUGCUAUCACAGUACCUAGGAUUAAAACACAUCUGAGCUGUCACAAGCCCAUGAUGUCUAUAAGGCCACCCCUUAAAGAAGUUCCUAGACUAACGAUUAAUUGAAACCCACGAAAGCCAGGGCCCAAACUGGGAUUAGAUACCCCACUAUGCCUGGCCCUAAAUAUUGGUGCUUCCACCUAACCUAAGCAUCCGCCCGAGAACUACGAGCUCAAACGCUUGAAACUCUAAGGACUUGGCGGUGCCUCAAACCCACCUAGAGGAGCCUGUUCUAUAAUCGAUGAUCCACGUUAUACCCUACCAUUCCUUGCAAAACAGCCUAUAUACCGCCGUCGCCAGCCCACCCUGAUUGAAGGCACAACAGUGGACGCAAUAGUUUUUACCACGCUAAAAAGACAGGUCAAGGUAUAGCCUAUGGAGUGGGAGUAAUGGGCUACAUUUUCUAGUAUAGAAAACCACGGCAAAGGGAUGUGAAAUCGCCCCUAGAAGGAGGAUUUAGCAGUAAAGUGGGAUAAUAGAGCCCUCUUUAAGCCGGCCCUGAGGCACGU